GCCCCCGUAGGCUAGUUUGGACAGACUGCGGGCUUGCGGAGCCUGUGACCUGGGUUCGAAUCCCAGCGGGGGCG
rnacentral:tRNA from 1 species